CCUUCUACUCCUGGAGGCUCACCAAAUGGUGCUGGACUUCAUGCAGAAAUCCAACUGGCUUGGCCCACUACAGCUCAGAACCCCUGAACUCAAGAAAUCUACCAGCCUGUCACCUGUCUCUCUGGUAGCAGGGAUUACAGUAGAAGAGAAGAAUUAUCUCAUGGAGUCUUCUGGUCUAGAUCAGCUUCAGAGACAAGAACAGAAAAUGAUCAGACUGGCAACAAGGACAAUGAUUUGUAAAGGAAACCUAUCAGCAUCCCUAUGAAGCAAAGACCAUUUUAUAGAUGAUGAAACUGAGACAGAAGCAACUUGCCCAGAGGACUACACAGAGGUCUUGGCAAAAAUGGAACUAAAACUCAGUAUUCCUUCCAACAGACUAAAAGAACCCAGGCACUGGAAGUAAGGUAGGUAUCAAGUGCUGAAAGAAAAAAAAAUCUAAGAGUCCUCUUUGGAAACCUGGAAGUUCCAGGUGGUUUCCUGAGAUUGUUCAAUGAGAUGGCAUCUCAUUAUACCUCAAAUUUUCCAGCUCUUCUAAAUGUCAUGAUCCUAAGUUUGCUGUUGAAGCUCUUGGGCUGAAUUCUUUCAGGAAGGGAAAGACAUGUGGUGGAGUAACCUGGCUGAAAAGUACUAUAUCUCCCUCUAGGACAAAUGUAAUUGUGGAAGUGGAGUCAAAUUUCUACUAAAAAGCCUGCAGGUUCUCUUCUUCUCAAUUAUAAAUAUAAUGAUGGAAUACCUACCUUCCUCCAACAAUAGUUUGCUUUUCAAUGACAAGACUAAGACCCUGGGCUGCAUGGAUUUGAUGAGACUAGCCAGUCUCAACAAUGUAACAAUGAAUGGCAUCAACAGCCAGGCCUCAAGGAUUGUGUUAUCACUAGGGUCUCUGAUGUGUUAAAAUGUUACAGUGCCCCUUUUCUGCCUUCUAUCAUUGUCCACUUUAGAAUAUCUCCCUUUUGUAUCCCAAAAGCCCCCAAUACUUGUUUUUAAUCAAUCAGAGUUCUAUUAUCCUUAUAGUAGAAACUGAAAUGUUUUUCUUCCUACAAUUUGUAUUUAGAGGGUAAGUAUUAAGAAUAGAUCUUUUUUGGUUUCUGGGUUUUUUUGUUUGUUUUUGUUGUUGUUUUUUGGUGAGGCAACUGGGGCUGUGACUUGCCCAGAAGUGUCUGUUUUUGAUGAAGCCAUGUUCCCUGGUUAAUAAACUGGAUUUGAAAAGUAUAGAGUGUAUCAUCUCAUAGAAGAAAUGUUUGUAGGUAACAGAGACAUUACAGGCAUUUCUCAUAAGGUCUACCAGCACCAAGUGACAAGGAUCAGUUCAUAUUUUGGGGAGUUGAAAGGGA